AGUGAACGCUGGCGGUAGGCCUAACACAUGCAAGUCGAACGGCAGCACAGUAAGAGCUUGCUCUUACGGGUGGCGAGUGGCGGACGGGUGAGGAAUACAUCGGAAUCUACUUUUUCGUGGGGGAUAACGCAGGGAAACUUACGCUAAUACCGCAUACGACCUACGGGUGAAAGCAGGGGAUCUUCGGACCUUGCGCGAUUGAAUGAGCCGAUGUCGGAUUAGCUAGUUGGCGGGGUAAAGGCCCACCAAGGCGACGAUCCGUAGCUGGUCUGAGAGGAUGAUAAGCCACACUGGAACUGAGACACGGUCCAGACUCCUACGGGAGGCAGCAGUGGGGAAUAUUGGACAAUGGGCGCAAGCCUGAUCCAGCCAUACCGCGUGGGUGAAGAAGGCCUUCGGGUUGUAAAGCCCUUUUGUUGGGAAAGAAAAGCAGCAGGUUAAUACCCCGCUGUUCUGACGGUACCCAAAGAAUAAGCACCGGCUAACUUCGUG
rnacentral:rRNA from 1 species